AUGGUAGCUGAGACUGAGAGGUUGAACAGCCGCAAUGGGAUUGAGAUAUGGCCCAUAUUCCUACGGGAAGCAGCAGUGAGGAAUUUUUCACAAUGGACGAAAGUCUGAUGGAGCAAUACCACGUGAACGAUGAAGGUCUUCUGAUUGUAAAGUUCUUUUAUUUAGGAAAAAAAGCGCGACAGGAAAUGGUCGCGCCCUGAUUGUACUAAUUGAAUAAGUGACAGCUAACUAUGUGCCAGCAGCUGCCGUAAAACAUAGGUCACGAGCAUUAUCCGGAUUUAUUGGGCGUAAAGGAAGCGUAGG
rnacentral:rRNA from 1 species